AUUAAUUCGAUGCAACGCGAAGAACCUUACCAAGGCUUGACAUGCACCUGAAAAGGCUGGAAACAGUCUCCUCGCAAGACAGGUGCACAGGUGGUGCAUGGUUGUCAUCAGCUCGUGUCGUGAGAUGUUGGGUUAAGUCCCGCAACGAGCGCAACCCUCGUUCUAUGUUGCCAGCGCGUGAUGGCGGGAACUCAUAGGAGACUGCCGGGGUCAACUCGGAGGAAGGUGGGGAUGACGUCAAAUCAUCAUGCCCCUUAUGUCUUGGGCUUCACGCAUGCUACAAUGGCCGGUACAAAGGGCUGCGAUACCGCAAGGUGGAGCGAAUCCCAAAAAGCCGGUCUCAGUUCGGAUUGAGGUCUGCAACUCGACCUCAUGAAGUCGGAGUCGCUAGUAAUCGCAGAUCAGCAACGCUG
rnacentral:rRNA from 1 species